AACGAACGCUGGCGGCAGGCUUAACACAUGCAAGUCGAGCGCAUCCUUCGGGGUGAGCGGCGGACGGGUGAGUAACGCGUGGGAACGUGCCCUCUUCUACGGAAUAGCCCAGGGAAACUUGGAUUAAUUCCGUAUACGCCCGAAAGGGGAAAGAUUUAUCGGAGGAGGAUCGGCCCGCGUUGGAUUAGGGAGUGGGUGGGGUAAUGGCCUACCAAGCCGACGAUCCAUAGCUGGUUUGAGAGGAUGAUCAGCCACACUGGGACUGAGACACGGCCCAGACUCCUACGGGAGGCAGCAGUGGGGAAUCUUGGACAAUGGGGGAAACCCUGAUCCAGCCAUGCCGCGUGAUCGAUGAAGGCCUUAGGGUUGUAAAGAUCUUUCAGCUGGGAAGAUAAUGACGGUACCAGCAGAAGAAGCCCCGGCUAACUCCGUGCCAGCCGCCGCGGUAACAC
rnacentral:rRNA from 1 species